AAAGAAGGUGAUAAAAGGCUGUGAGAAUCAGCAAGUAUCCAACACAGUAUAUCAUGCUUACAUUUUAGGUUUCUUAUUUAAGUUCAAGUUUGUGGUUUAGUCUACUUAGAUCUUAAAGAAUGAUCAGGCAAUAGCCCUUGUCUGAACUCUCUUUUAAUAGAUACCACCUCAAAGACUGAACUGAGAAAUUUUGUGCAAUAAAGAAGGAAAGAUGAAGAAGAAAUACUUUGUUCAAUCAGUGUGCAAUAGCAGAGGAUGUGGAGAUAAAUAAUCAAAUAUUUUGAAGGAGAGCCAUCAGGAUUUGUAGAUGGAUUGGUUGUGGUAUGUGAAAGAAAAAGAGAAGCCAAGGAUAACUCUGAUGUUUUUAGUUUGAGCACCUGGAAGGAUGAAAAUACUAUAGACUGAAUGGGGAAAACCAUGAAUGGAACAGGCGUGAGUUCAGCAGGAAACUUCUUGGUAAUGAAGAACAAUUGCCUGAAUGAUGGAAAGGAGAUUCAUCAGUUAUCAGUUAGCCUUGAAGAAAAUGGAAUCAGAUUUUCCAGGAAAAGAUCAAGCUCCUCAGGCCUGUCCUGAGCACAAAACAAGACCAGAAGAGGAAUCCUGUGGUGCCAAGAUCAAAUCUGGAUUAAUCAUUAGUGGCUGGUCCUUUGACAAGUGUGGUCUCUUGCUUGGGAUGUCAGAGUCCUGUGUUGAGUUUUGACAACCGCCAGCAGGGCCAAAGACCAUCAUCCCUACAUCAUUGGGUCCUGGGGAAGAUCCCAUGAUGUCCCACUGCUCUAGCGUCUUCUUCAGAGAAAAUUACCUUAAAAGGAGCAUCACUAGUGACACGGAAGGUGAAACGAAGUAAUAAAAGGGCAGAUUGGUGCUUACAGGGAAGGAAAAGCUCACUGCCUUGCCCUGGUGAUAGUGUGGUUAUAAACAAUUCUGUAAAUAGAAUCUUUACUAUAGAAAGUCUUCAUAUUUUUAAAAUACAAGCUACAGUUGCUUUUUUUCCGUGUUUCCCCAGAGUGUCUCUAGUAGGCAGUAUCCAAUCAACAGAACUAUGGAAAUCUACCCCAAAGAGAGAAUACAGAGGAGCUAGGAUAAUUACCAAUAUUUAAGGUGUCCAGGUGAGUCAGAGGAGCUGAGGGGGCUGACAGGCUUGACUUGUAGUUUCAUCU
rnacentral:lncRNA from 1 species